CUCCUCCCAGAGUCAUACCUGGAGAGUUUCCAGUACUCUACCAGUCUCGAUUACAGGGGGGAGAGUCAAGCAGAGCCCUACCCAUUCCACUCCUAGCUUGGGCAGUGGUUAGUGAGUGGAAGGCAAUCUGCUACAAGU
rfam:Ornithorhynchus anatinus chromosome 5, whole genome shotgun sequence.